rnacentral:rRNA from 1 species
UUAAGCGACUAAGCGUACACGGUGGAUGCCCUGGCAGUCAGAGGCGAUGAAGGACGUGCUAAUCUGCGAUAAGCGUCGGUAAGGUGAUAUGAACCGUUAUAACCGGCGAUUUCCGAAUGGGGAAACCCAGUGUGAUUCGUCACACUAUCAUUAACUGAAUCCAUAGGUUAAUGAGGCGAACCGGGGGAACUGAAACAUCUAAGUACCCCGAGGAAAAGAAAUCAACCGAGAUUCCCCCAGUAGCGGCGAGCGAACGGGGAGCAGCCCAGAGCCUGAAUCAGUGUGUGUGUUAGUGGAAGCGUCUGGAAAGGCGCGCGAUACAGGGUGACAGCCCCGUACACAAAAAUGCACAUGCUGUGAGCUCGAUGAGUAGGGCGGGACACGUGGUAUCCUGUCUGAAUAUGGGGGGACCAUCCUCCAAGGCUAAAUACUCCUGACUGACCGAUAGUGAACCAGUACCGUGAGGGAAAGGCGAAAAGAACCCCGGCGAGGGGAGUGAAAAAGAACCUGAAACCGUGUACGUACAAGCAGUGGGAGCCUCUUUAUGGGGUGACUGCGUACCUUUUGUAUAAUGGGUCAGCGACUUAUAUUCUGUAGCAAGGUUAACCGAAUAGGGGAGCCGAAGGGAAACCGAGUCUUAACUGGGCGUUAAGUUGCAGGGUAUAGACCCGAAACCCGGUGAUCUAGCCAUGGGCAGGUUGAAGGUUGGGUAACACUAACUGGAGGACCGAACCGACUAAUGUUGAAAAAUUAGCGGAUGACUUGUGGCUGGGGGUGAAAGGCCAAUCAAACCGGGAGAUAGCUGGUUCUCCCCGAAAGCUAUUUAGGUAGCGCCUCGUGAAUUCAUCUCCGGGGGUAGAGCACUGUUUCGGCAAGGGGGUCAUCCCGACUUACCAACCCGAUGCAAACUGCGAAUACCGGAGAAUGUUAUCACGGGAGACACACGGCGGGUGCUAACGUCCGUCGUGAAGAGGGAAACAACCCAGACCGCCAGCUAAGGUCCCAAAGUCAUGGUUAAGUGGGAAACGAUGUGGGAAGGCCCAGACAGCCAGGAUGUUGGCUUAGAAGCAGCCAUCAUUUAAAGAAAGCGUAAUAGCUCACUGGUCGAGUCGGCCUGCGCGGAAGAUGUAACGGGGCUAAACCAUGCACCGAAGCUGCGGCAGCGACGCUUAUGCGUUGUUGGGUAGGGGAGCGUUCUGUAAGCCUGUGAAGGUGUGCUGUGAGGCAUGCUGGAGGUAUCAGAAGUGCGAAUGCUGACAUAAGUAACGAUAAAGCGGGUGAAAAGCCCGCUCGCCGGAAGACCAAGGGUUCCUGUCCAACGUUAAUCGGGGCAGGGUGAGUCGACCCCUAAGGCGAGGCCGAAAGGCGUAGUCGAUGGGAAACAGGUUAAUAUUCCUGUACUUGGUGUUACUGCGAAGGGGGGACGGAGAAGGCUAUGUUGGCCGGGCGACGGUUGUCCCGGUUUAAGCGUGUAGGCUGGUUUUCCAGGCAAAUCCGGAAAAUCAAGGCUGAGGCGUGAUGACGAGGCACUACGGUGCUGAAGCAACAAAUGCCCUGCUUCCAGGAAAAGCCUCUAAGCAUCAGGUAACAUCAAAUCGUACCCCAAACCGACACAGGUGGUCAGGUAGAGAAUACCAAGGCGCUUGAGAGAACUCGGGUGAAGGAACUAGGCAAAAUGGUGCCGUAACUUCGGGAGAAGGCACGCUGAUAUGUAGGUGAGGUCCCUCGCGGAUGGAGCUGAAAUCAGUCGAAGAUACCAGCUGGCUGCAACUGUUUAUUAAAAACACAGCACUGUGCAAACACGAAAGUGGACGUAUACGGUGUGACGCCUGCCCGGUGCCGGAAGGUUAAUUGAUGGGGUUAGCGGUAACGCGAAGCUCUUGAUCGAAGCCCCGGUAAACGGCGGCCGUAACUAUAACGGUCCUAAGGUAGCGAAAUUCCUUGUCGGGUAAGUUCCGACCUGCACGAAUGGCGUAAUGAUGGCCAGGCUGUCUCCACCCGAGACUCAGUGAAAUUGAACUCGCUGUGAAGAUGCAGUGUACCCGCGGCAAGACGGAAAGACCCCGUGAACCUUUACUAUAGCUUGACACUGAACAUUGAGCCUUGAUGUGUAGGAUAGGUGGGAGGCUUUGAAGUGUGGACGCCAGUCUGCAUGGAGCCGACCUUGAAAUACCACCCUUUAAUGUUUGAUGUUCUAACGUUGACCCGUAAUCCGGGUUGCGGACAGUGUCUGGUGGGUAGUUUGACUGGGGCGGUCUCCUCCUAAAGAGUAACGGAGGAGCACGAAGGUUGGCUAAUCCUGGUCGGACAUCAGGAGGUUAGUGCAAUGGCAUAAGCCAGCUUGACUGCGAGCGUGACGGCGCGAGCAGGUGCGAAAGCAGGUCAUAGUGAUCCGGUGGUUCUGAAUGGAAGGGCCAUCGCUCAACGGAUAAAAGGUACUCCGGGGAUAACAGGCUGAUACCGCCCAAGAGUUCAUAUCGACGGCGGUGUUUGGCACCUCGAUGUCGGCUCAUCACAUCCUGGGGCUGAAGUAGGUCCCAAGGGUAUGGCUGUUCGCCAUUUAAAGUGGUACGCGAGCUGGGUUUAGAACGUCGUGAGACAGUUCGGUCCCUAUCUGCCGUGGGCGCUGGAGAACUGAGGGGGGCUGCUCCUAGUACGAGAGGACCGGAGUGGACGCAUCACUGGUGUUCGGGUUGUCAUGCCAAUGGCACUGCCCGGUAGCUAAAUGCGGAAGAGAUAAGUGCUGAAAGCAUCUAAGCACGAAACUUGCCCCGAGAUGAGUUCUCCCUGACUCCUUGAGAGUCCUGAAGGAACGUUGAAGACGACGACGUUGAUAGGCCGGGUGUGUAAGCGCAGCGAUGCGUUGAGCUAACCGGUACUAAUGAACCGUGAGGCUUAACCUU